rnacentral:rRNA from 1 species
UUACCAGGCCUUGACAUGCAGAGAACUUUCCAGAGAUGGAUUGGUGCCUUCGGGAACUCUGACACAGGUGCUGCAUGGCUGUCGUCAGCUCGUGUCGCGAGAUGUUGGGUUAAGUCCCGUAACGAGCGCAACCCUUGUCCUUAGUUACCAGCACGUUAUGGUGGGCACUCUAAGGAGACUGCCGGUGACAAACCGGAGGAAGGUGGGGAUGACGUCAAGUCAUCAUGGCCCUUACGGCCUGGGCUACACACGUGCUACAAUGGUCGGUACAAAGGGUUGCCAAGCCGCGAGGUGGAGCUAAUCCCAUAAAACCGAUCGUAGUCCGGAUCGCAGUCUGCAACUCGACUGCGUGAAGUCGGAAUCGCUAGUAAUCGUGAAUCAGAAUGUCACGGUGAAUACGUUCCCGGGCCUU